GCCAAUGUGGUGUAGUAGUUUGAGCAAUGGACUACAACUCUGGAGACAAGGGUUCGAAUCCCUGCUUGAGCA